ACAACGGCUCUUUUAAGAGCCACCCACAAAUCCACCCAAAGAGCAG
rfam:Astyanax mexicanus Tnplaced_Scaffold4648, whole genome shotgun sequence.